GGACUACUGGGGUUUCUAAUCCUGUUCGCUCCCCACGCCUUCGCGCCUCAGUGUCAGUUGAUACCCAGGUCGUCGCCUUCGCCACUGAUGUUCUUCCCGAUAUCUACGCAUUUCACCGCUACACCGGAAAUUCCACGACCCUCUGUCUCACUCAAGUCAACACGUCUUCAACGCCAUUCCCAGGUUGAGCCCGGGGCUUUCACGCCAAACCUUGUUAACCACCUACACGCCCUUUACGCCCAGUCAUUCCGAUUAACGCUCGCACCCUCUGUAUUACCGCGGCUGCUGGCAC
rnacentral:rRNA from 2 species